rnacentral:rRNA from 1 species
GACGAACGCUGGCGGCGUGCUUAACACAUGCAAGUCGAACGGUCAAGCGCCUUCCUUUUUGGUCGGUGUGGAUGAGUGGCGAACGGGUGAGUAACACGUUAGUAACCUGCCCCCUUCUUCUGGAUAACCGCAUGAAAGUGUUGCUAAUACGGGAUAUUCUGGGUCUGUCGCUUGAUGGGUCUGGGACAGAUUUUGUUUCGGUGGUGGAUGGGCUCGCGGUCUAUCAGCUUGUUGGUGGGGUGAUGGCCUACCAAGGCGGUGACGAGUAGCCGGCCUGAGAGGGUGGGCGGCCACAGUGGGGCUGCGAGACGCACCAGACUCCGACGGGAGGCAGCAGGGGAGAAUAUUGCACAAUGGGCGGAAGGCUGAUGCAGCGACGCGGGGUGAGGGGUGGAGGCCUGCGGGUUGUGAACCUCUUUCGCGAGUGAAGCAAGGUUGCCUUGUUUGUGGGUGGGUUGACGGUAGCUGGACAAGAAGCGCCGGCUAACUACGUG